AGGAAAAUUCCUCACCCGAUAAAGCAUAUGCUUUCUCCAACCAGGCGCAGAUUCCCUUCCUUCCUUGCACGGAUACGAAACAAAAACGCAUCUCUUUUUUAAUUUCCUCCCUUUCUCAUUGGCGCGUUCACUGCGGAAUUGCAAAUCCAAUUCAAAUUAUAGGGUUUAGACAAACUCCCAAAAUCUCUAACAGCAAUGGAAUCGAUACAGAGCCGAGUAGAAUCAUGGAUCAGGGACCAGAGAGCUAAGAUCCUCAAGGUGUCUUGGGCCCCACUGCAGUGGAGAAUGAGGUGGCCGCCUUGGUUUCACAGCGACAGAGAACAUAGGAAGAAGAUUCAACAAGAAUACGAGCGCCGGAGGAAGCAGCUCAACGAUCUCUGUCUCGCCGUCAAGGCCGAUUCCGUCUCCGACUUGCAGGAAAUUCUCUGUUGCAUGGUCCUCUCCGAGUGUGUAUAUAAGAGACCUGCUAAUGAGAUGGUUCGGGCUUUGAACAAAUUUAAGGCUGACUUUGGAGGACAAGUUGUUUCUCUGGAGCGUGUGCAACCCUCUUCAGAUCAUGUUCCUCACAGGUACCUAUUAGCAGAAGCAGGUGACACUUUGUUUGCUUCCUUUAUUGGGACAAAACAGUACAAGGAUGUUGUGACCGAUGUAAAUAUACUACAAGGUGCUAUAUUUCAUGAGGAUGCCAUGGAGGAUGCUGCCCAGAUGGAAGCCAGUGAAUCUGUGCAAGGUGAAACUCUAAAGGGAAAUGGGGAAAGUCAUUGGAAUCCUCUUGAAUCAAAGCCUAAACAUCUGAAAGAUCAGCCUAAGCCUGCCGCUCAUCGAGGUUUCUUGGCUCGUGCUAAAGGCAUACCUUCUUUAGAGUUGUACAGGCUUGCUCAGAAGAAGAAUCGAAAACUUGUAUUGUGUGGGCAUUCACUUGGUGGGGCAGUGGCAGCAUUAGCUACUCUUGCUAUCCUGAGGGUUGUUGCUGCAUCCUCUCCAUCAAAAGAAGAUGAAAAGAUUCAGGUUAAAUGUAUAACAUUUUCCCAACCACCAGUUGGGAAUGCUGCUUUAAGAGACUACGUCCAUGAAAAAGGCUGGCAGCAUUAUUUUAAGAGUUACUGCAUUCCUGAAGAUUUGGUGCCCCGUAUCCUUUCUCCUGCUUAUUUUCAUCACUAUAAUGCUCAACCUUUGUCAAUGAAUACUGAGGUUGAAACUACCAGUCAAUCAGUCUCAAAACAUGAGCAAUGGAUAGAAAAAUCAAGGGCACAGAAGCCAAAGGAGAAUGAGGGGGAGCGACUGGUUCUGGGUUUAGGCCCUGUGCAGACUUCUUUUUGGAGACUUUCGAGGCUUGUUCCUUUGGAGGGAAUUAGAAGGCAAUUCAAUAAGUACACAGGAAAACAAGUUGGUCCCAUAGGGACAUCAGUGACAACUAAUUCUGGUGUAACAUCUACAAUUGAGGAUGUAGUUGCACCUCAGUCUCUCGAAAUCCAAGAGGGUUCUGAUGGCAUAUCUCUUAAACCAUUAUCUGACACUAAUAAUGGGCCACCAGAGGAAUCAAUGACUGGAAAAGUAGGCGAAAAAGGAAAUGAUAGAAGUGGAGAUAGAAGAAACUGGCGUAGGGUACCUUAUUUACCUUCAUAUGUCCCAUUUGGUCAGCUGUAUCUAUUGGGAAAUUCUUCAGUGGAAUUACUAUCUGGUGCAGAGUACUCAAAAUUAACAUCGGUCAGAUCUGUGAUUGCUGAACUAAGGGAACGAUUUCAAUCACAUUCAAUGAGAUCUUAUCGGUUUCGAUUUCAGAGAAUCUAUGACAUGUGCAUGGGUGAUGCUGCUUCAUCUUUUCCCGGAAUGGAGCAAGUGCCUCAGUUUGUGCAUUUGCAACAGUGGCUUGGGCUUGCAGUUGCAGGUGCUGUAAAGCUUGCUCAAAUUGUAGAAUUGCCAGUUAUUCGCAUAGCCACUUCAGUUAUCCCUCUAGGGUGGAAUGGUGUUCCUGGUGAGAAGAAUGGAGAAACCUUAAAAGUUGAUAUUAUCGGUUUUGGUUUGCACCUUUGUAACUUGGUCCAUGCUCAAGUCAAUGGUAACUGGUGUGCAACUACAGUGGAGUCAUUUCCUCCUGCACCCAGCUAUUCUUCAAACCAUGAAGUACAGCCAGAACUACAAAAGAUGAGGGUUUUAGUUGGAGCUCCUCUGAGACGACCACCAAAACAUCCUAUAGUGGCAGAUUCAUUGACGCCUGUUUUUCCUUCUAUUGAUUCAGAUGCUGAUAAUCUCAAUGAAGGACAUAGUUUAGGGCAUCAGGAGAAAUUGCUCUGCCCUGAAGGUUUGACUGAUUUUUGCAUUUAUUGUACAAGUGAUUUUGCUACUGUCUCUAAGGAGGUCCAUGUCAGAACUCGUAGGGUGCGGUUACUCGGACUUGAGGGUGCUGGUAAAACUUCUCUUUUCAAGGCAAUUAUGGGUCAAAGCAGACUAACCACCAUUGCCAAUUUUGAGAAUAUGCACAUAGAGGCUGAUGUCCAAGAAGGUAUUGCUGGUGGUGUAUGCUACAUUGAUUCAGCUGGGAUAAAUUUGCAGGACCUAAAUAUGGAGGCCUCUCGUUUUAGGGAUGAACUAUGGGUGGGAAUUCGUGACCUCAGUAGGAAAACAGAUUUGAUUAUUCUGGUGCAUAACAUGUCGCAUAAGAUUCCUCGAAGCAGUAGCCAAAAUGCAUCAUCUCAACAGCCAGUACUUUCACUUCUUUUAGAUGAGGCUAAAGCUCUUGGAAUUCCUUGGGUUCUUGCUGUAACAAACAAAUUUUCUGUCAGUGCACACCAGCAAAAAGCAGCAAUUGAUGCUGUUUUGCAGGCAUAUCAAGCAUCUGUAAGCACCACAGAAGUUGUGAAUUCCUGUCCUUACGUAAUCCACACUGCUGCUGCCAGUGCUUCUUUGUCGCUGGCUGCUGCUGAGAGAGAUUCUGGUGGAAGGAUUGGUGGUGAAAAGCUUAUUUUUGCUCCAAUUAAUCUUGUUCGGAGGCCAUUUCAAAGAAGAGACACCAUUUUUCCCGUUGAGGGUGUGAAUUCACUUUGUCAGCUUGUCCACCGCGUGCUGCGGAGUCAUGAAGAGGCCUCGUUACAGGAACUAGCUAGAGAUAGACUUUUGGCAGAACUGACACGGGAGCGAGCAAUGGCAACAGAUGCAAGACGAGAGUCUCAAGCCAAGGCAUCUUCCUUGACAGCUGCUGCUGUGGGUGCUUCCCUUGGGGCUGGUGUUGGCCUUGUCUUGGCUGUUGUCAUGGGUGCUGCAUCUGCUUUACGGAAGCCCUAAGCAAAUAUAGAUCUUCUGAAAAUGGAAGUUCCAUAGCUGGUGUAAAUUGUAUUUUCUCAUUGGUUAGAUGUAGCGUCAAUAGCAGCAGACUUGCCAUUUGUUUAUUCAAUUGUAUUCAUGUAAAACCAUUAGAGUCCUUAGAGUUCUGCUUGCUUGAACUUCUCAUCCUUAGACAAACAGUGUAACACCCGAAUCUCAUCACCGAUUAUCAAGAAACAGUAAAUCGAGAGGAAUGCAUUCAUUAAACGCACGAGUCUUUGAUAGAUAUGGACGCAUACACACACAGUU
rnacentral:misc_RNA from 1 species